rnacentral:rRNA from 1 species
ACGAACGCUGGCAGCGUGCAUAACACAUGCAAGUCGAACGAUGAAGCAUUCUUCGGAAUGUGGAAGAGUGGCGAACGGGUGAGGAACACGUAAGAAUCUGCCCCUCGGUCGGGGACAACUCUUGGAAACGAGAGCUAAUACCCGAUACGCUGUGGAGUGAAAGAAUUUCGCCGAGGGAUGAUCUUGCGUCUGAUUAGCUAGUUGGUACGGUAAUGGCGUACCAAGGCGACGAUCAGUGGCUGGUCUGAGAGGAUGGACAGCCACAUUGGAACUGAGACACGGUCCAAACUCCUACGGGAGGCAGCAGUGGGGAAUUUUCCGCAAUGGACGAAAGUCUGACGGAGCGACGCUGCGUGAAGGAUGACGGCCCGCGGGUUGUAAACUUCUUUUCUCGAAGAAGAAGCUCUGACGGUAUUCGAGGAAUAAGCAUCGGCUAACUCCGUGCCAGCAGCCGCGGUAAGACGGAGGAUGCAAGAGUUAUUCGGAAUGAUUGGGCGUAAAGAGUCUGUAGGCUGUAUAGAAAGUCUUUUGUUAAAUGCCUCGGCUCAACCGAGAUCAAGCAAAGGAAACUUCUAUACUUGAGGGAAGUAGAGGUACAGGGAAUUCCCGGUGGAGCGGUGAAAUGCGUAGAUAUCGGGAGGAACACCAAUAUGGCGAAGGCACUGUACUGGGCUUUUCCUGACGCUGAGAGACGAAAGCUAAAGGAGUGAUUAGGAUUAGAUACCCUAGUAAUUUUAGCCGUAAACGAUGGAAACUCACUGCCGAGCGAAAUACAACGAGCGGUGGUCAAGCUAACGCGUGAAGUUUCCCGCCUGGGGAUUACGCUUGCAAAAGUGAAACUCAAAGGAAUUGACGGGGACCCGCACAAGCGGUGGAGUAUGUGGUUUAAUUCGAUGAUACGCGAGGAACCUUACCAAGGCUUAAAUGUAGGAGGACAGGCUGUGAAAACAGCCCUUCUUCGGACUUCCUACAAGGUGCUGCAUGGUUGUCGUCAGCUCGUGCCGUGAGGUGUCGGGUUAAGUCCCAUAACGAGCGCAACCCCUAUCUUUAGUUGCCAGCGGUUCGGCCGGGGACUCUAAAGAAACUGCCCGCGCAAGCGGUGAGGAAGGUGGGGAUGACGUCAAAUCAUCACGGCCCUUACGUCUUGGGCUACACACGUGCUACAAUGGUAGUGACAAUGGGCAGCCACCCCGCGAGGGGGAGCAAAUCCACAAACACUAUCUCAGUUCGGAUCGGAGUCUGCAACUCGACUCCGUGAAGCUAGAAUCGCUAGUAAUCGCGCAUCAGCCAUGGCGCGGUGAAUACGUUCCCGGGCCUUGCACACACCGC